UACGAAGGGGGCUAGCGUUGCUCGGAAUCACUGGGCGUAAAGCGCACGUAGGCGGACUCUUAAGUCAGGGGUGAAAUCCUGGAGCUCAACUCCAGAACUGCCCUUGAUACUGGGAGCCUUGAGUUCGGGAGAGGUGAGUGGAACUGCGAGUGUAGAAGUGAAAUUCGUAGAUAUUCGCAAGAACACCAGUGGCGAAGGCGGCUCACUGGCCCGAUACUGACGCUGAGGUGCGAAAGCGUGGGGAGCAAACAGG
rnacentral:rRNA from 1 species